rnacentral:rRNA from 1 species
UACGUAGGGGGCUAGCGUUGUCCGGAAUUAUUGGGCGUAAAGAGCUCGUAGGCGGUCUGUUGCGUCGGCUGUGAAAACCCGAGGCUCAACCUCGGGCCUGCAGCCGAUACGGGCAGACUAGAGUUCGGCAGGGGAGACUGGAAUUCCUGGUGUAGCGGUGAAAUGUGCAGAUAUCAGGAGGAACACCGGUGGCGAAGGCGGGUCUCUGGGCCGAUACUGACGCUGAGGAGCGAAAGCGUGGGGAGCGAACAGG